rnacentral:rRNA from 1 species
ACUAACUAGGAUUGCCUCAGUAACUGCGAGUGAAGCGGCAACAGCUCGUCUUGAAUCUCUCCUCUGGAGCGAAAUGUGAGUCACAGCCUUACGUUGGGGGUGGCGCGCAACUCGGCUGGAACGCCGGACCACGGAGGGUGCUAGUCCCGUGCCGUGCCGCCCUUGGCGAUAGGAUGUGUUAAACGAGUCGGGCAGUUUGGGAUUGCUGUCCUAACGGGAGGUAGACUCCUUCCAAAGCUAAAUAUCGACAGGAGACCGAUAGCGAACAAGUACUGUGAAGGAAAGAUGAAAAGCACUUUGAAAAGAGAGUUAAAAGACUUGAAAUCGCUGAGGAGGAAGCAGUGCGUACAGCGCAGGAAACAGUGCAAGGGAACUCAUGAGUUCCUGGAAGCUGUCCCGCUGCAGAGUGCAGUAGUGAAGGCGUGAGGCUCUGAGUCGCGUGCUCGGAAGUCUGCGUCGAACUGCUGAAGGCGCUCCGGCGACUCUGCCGCUGUGCGCACUGACCCGUCUUGAAACACGGACCAAGGAGUCCAACAUGCGUGCGAGUAGGAGGGUGCACACCCCACUGCGCAACGAAAGUGAACCUGUCAGCCAGGGCCGCGACGAGCGAGCUCAGCAGGCAUGUUGGGACCCGAAAGAUGGUGAACUAUGCUUGGGAAUGGCGAAGCCAGGGGAAACUCUGGUGGAGGCUUGUAGAGAUACUGACGUGCAAAUCGUUCUUCUAACCUGAGUAUAGGGGCGAAAGACUAAUCGAACCAUCUAGUAGCUGGUUCCCUCCGAAAUUUCCCUCAGGAUAGCUGGCGCCAUGCAGUUGUGCCGGGUAAAGCGAAUGACUAGAGGCAGGGAGUUGUAACAACUUUCACCUAUUCUCAAACUUUGAAUCGGCACGGAAGGGGAGUUGCUUCGCUGAACUCUCCUGCGAAUGUAGGCGCCAAGUGGGCCAUUUUUGGUAAGCAGAACUGGCGACGAGGGCUGAACCUAAGGCGAGGUUAAGGCGACCAAUUGGCCGCUCAUCAGACCCCAGAAAAGGCGUUAGUUCAUUUAGACAGUAGGACGGUGGCCAUGGAAGUCGGAACCCGCUAAGGAGUGUGUAACAACUCACCUACCGAAUGGACUAGCCCUGAAAAUGGAUGUCGCUAAGCAGCCAGCCGAUACCUCGCUGUGCGUCUUGUCUGGACGCACAGGUAGGAGGGCGUGAGGGCCGCGGCGAAGUGCGCGUGAGAACGCGUGUGGAGCGACCUUCAGUGCAGAUCUUGGUGGUAGUAGCAAGUAUUCAAAUGAGAACUUUGAAGACUGAAGUGGAGCAGGGUUUCAUGUGAACAGCACUUGGACAUGAGUAACUCGGUCCUGAGGCCAGGGGGAGUCCCGCGAAGACACUGUCCAGGCCGAAAGGGAAUGCGGUUAACAUUCCGCAAGCAGGCGUUGGGUGCUGAGUGGCAACACAAAUGAACUCAAAGACGUCGGGGCGAGGUCCCAGGGAGAGUUCUCUUUUCUUCUUAACAAGUCGCUGCCUUGGAGGUCUUUGCGACGAGAGAAGGCUACAGACUUGGAAGAGCAGCACACCCUGAGUGCUGUCUGGUGCGCCUCCCACGGCCCUUGAAAAUUUGAGGGAACAACUGCACGCCUGACCGUACCGAAACCGC